AUUGAACGCUGGCGGCAGGCUUAACACAUGCAAGUCGAGCGGAGAUGAGGUGCUUGCACCUUAUCUUAGCGGCGGACGGGUGAGUAAUGCUUAGGAAUCUGCCUAUUAGUGGGGGACAACAUUCCGAAAGGAAUGCUAAUACCGCAUACGUCCUACGGGAGAAAGCAGGGGAUCUUCGGACCUUGCGCUAAUAGAUGAGCCUAAGUCGGAUUAGCUAGUUGGUGGGGUAAAGGCCUACCAAGGCGACGAUCUGUAGCGGGUCUGCGAGGAUGAUCCGCCACACUGGGACGGAGACACGGCCCAGACUCCGACGGGAGGCAGCGGUGGGGGAUAUUGGACAAUGGGGGGAACCCUGAUCCAGCCAUGCCGCGUGUGUGAAGAAGGCCUUAUGGUUGUAAAGCACUUUAAGCGAGGAGGAGGCUACUGAGACUAAUACUCUUGGAUAGUGGACGUUACUCGCAGAAUAAGCACCGGCUAACUCUGUGCCAGCCGCCGCCGUAAUAC
rnacentral:rRNA from 1 species